rnacentral:rRNA from 1 species
UGCUCUAAAUGGGAGGUAAAUUUCUUUCUAAAAGCUAAAAUAUUUGGCCAGAGACCGAUAGCGCACAAGUAGAGUGAUCGAAAGAUGAAAAGCACUUUGAAAAGAGGGUUAAAUAGCACGUGAAAUUGUAGAAAGGGAAGCGUUUGCGACCAGACCUUUUCCUAGCGGAUCAUCCGGUGUUCUCACCGGUGCACUUACAUAGGUUUAGGCCAGCAUCGGUUUCUGUAGGGGGAUAAAAGCUCUGGGAACGUAGCUCCUCCGGGAGUGUUAUAGCCCUCUGCAUAAUACCCUUACGGGGACCGAGGACCGCGCUUUUAGCAAGGAUGCUGGCGUAAUGGUCGUCAACGACCCGUCUUGAAACACGGACCAAGGAGUCGAACAUUUGUGCGAGUGUUUGGGUGUUAAACCCUCACGCGUAAUGAAGGUGAACUUAGGUGAUAGCCCUUUACGGGUGCCUCAUGGACCGAUCCUGAUGUUUUGGG